GACGAACGCUGGCGGCGUGCUUAACACAUGCAAGUCGAACGGAAAGGCCCUGCUUUUGUGGGGUGCUCGAGUGGCGAACGGGUGAGUAACACGUGAGUAACCUGCCCUUGACUUUGGGAUAACUUCAGGAAACUGGGGCUAAUACCGGAUAGGAGCUCCUGCUGCAUGGUGGGGGUUGGAAAGUUUCGGCGGUUGGGGAUGGACUCGCGGCUUAUCAGCUUGUUGGUGGGGUAGUGGCUUACCAAGGCUUUGACGGGUAGCCGGCCUGAGAGGGUGACCGGCCACAUUGGGACUGAGAUACGGCCCAGACACCUACGGGAGGCAACAGUGGGGAAUAGUGCACAAGGGGCGGAAGCCUGAUGCAGCAACGCCGCGUGCGGGAUGACGGCCUUCGGGUUGUAAACCGCUUUCGCCUGUGACGAAGCGUGAGUGACGGUAAUGGGUAAAGAAGCACCGGCUAACUACGU
rnacentral:rRNA from 1 species